rnacentral:rRNA from 1 species
AGUGAACGCUGGCGGUAGGCCUAACACAUGCAAGUCGAACGGCAGCACAGUAAGAGCUUGCUCUUACGGGUGGCGAAUGGCGGACGGGAGAGGAAUACAUCGGAAUCUACUUUUUCGUAGGGGAUAACGUAGGGAAACUUACGCUCAUACCGCAUACGACCUACGGGUGAGAGCAGGGGAUCUUCUGACCUUGCGCGAUUGAAUGAGCCGAUGUCGGAUUAGCUAGUUGGCGGGGUGAAGGCCAACCAAGUCGACGAUCCGUAGCUGGUGUGAGAGGAUGGUCAGCCACACUGGAACUUAGCCACCGUCCAUAGUCCUACGGGAGGCAGCAGUGGGGAAUAUGGGACAAUGGGCGCAAGCCUGAUCCAGCCAUACCGCGUGGGUGAAGAAGGCCUCCGGGUUGUAAAGACCUUUUGCGGGGAAAGAAAAGCAGCAGGUUAAUACCCCGCUGGUCUGACGGUACCCAAAGAAUAAGCACCGGCUAACUUCGUG